AGUGAACGCUGGCGGUAGGCCUAACACAUGCAAGUCGAACGGCAGCACAGUAAGAGCUUGCUCUUACGGGUGGCGAGUGGCGGACGGGUGAGGAAUACAUCGGAAUCUACUUUUUCGUGGGGGAUAACGUAGGGAAACUUACGCUAAUACCGCAUACGACCUACGGGUGAAAGCAGGGGAUCUUCGGACCUUGCGCGAUUGAAUGAGCCGAUGUCGGAUUAGCUAGUUGGCGGGGUAAAGGCCCACCAAGGCGACGAUCCGUAGCUGGUCUGAGAGGAUGAUCAGCCACACUGGAACUGAGACACGGUCCAGACUCCUACGGGAGGCAGCAGUGGGGAAUAUUGGACAAUGGGCGCAAGCCUGAUCCAGCCAUACCGCGUGGGUGAAGAAGGCCUUCGGGUUGUAAAGCCCUGUUGUUGGGAAAGAAAAGCAGCAGGUUAAUACCACGCUGUUCUGACGGUACCCAAAGAAUAAGCACCGGCUAACUUCGUG
rnacentral:rRNA from 1 species